rnacentral:rRNA from 1 species
GACGAACGCUGGCGGCGUGCCUAAUACAUGCAAGUCGAACGAACCGCGACUAGGUGCUUGCACUUGGUCAAGGUGAGUGGCGAACGGGUGAGUAACACGUGGGUAACCUACCUCAUAGUGGGGGAUAACAGUCGGAAACGACUGCUAAUACCGCAUAGGACAUAGGAUCACAUGAUCCAGUGAGGAAAGGUGGCGCAAGCUAUCGCUAAGAGAUGGACCCGCGGUGCAUUAGCUAGUUGGUAGGGUAAAGGCCUACCAAGGCGAUGAUGCAUAGCCGACCUGAGAGGGUGAUCGGCCACAUUGGGACUGAGACACGGCCCAAACUCCUACGGGAGGCAGCAGUAGGGAAUCUUCCGCAAUGGACGCAAGUCUGACGGAGCAACGCCGCGUGAGUGAAGAAGGUCUUCGGAUCGUAAAGCUCUGUUGUUAGAGAAGAACAGCGCAUAGAGUAAACUGCUAUGC